CCCGGCCAGGAUCAUCCGUCCCGGGGUUAGUCGGACCUAAGCCGAGGCCACAUGGCGUAGCGAUGGAAAUCGGGUUAAUAUUCCCGAACCAGCUUGGAUGUGUUGACGUCAGCAGGGACGAAGAAAGAUAGCUCAGCCGGGCGAUGGUUCCGGUUCAAGCUCGUAGGUGGAUUCCCCAGGACCGUUCCGGACAAACAGGGAGUCGAGACACCGAGAAGCGAUGAGGGAUGGACCGCCUCGGCGGAAAGUCAAACUGAGUGAUUCUAUGCUUCCGAGAAAAGCUGCGGGCCGAGCAUUCCGGCUGUCCGUACCGCAAACCGACUCAGGUGGGCGGGAAGAGUAUUCCAAGGCGUUUGAGAGAACCGUGGUUAAGGAACUAGGCAAAUUGACACCGUAACUUCGGGAUAAGGUGUGCCUCCGGAGGUAGAGCUGAACAGGCCGAGCCAGAAGAGGUCGCAGAGAAUUGGGG
rnacentral:rRNA from 1 species